AGUAAGCAAUAACUGCACUGAAAAACAGCUAGAUUGGAUGUACAGCUGAGAAAUUGCGGUGGGCGUAAAGUGGGUGGCAGCGUCUAAUAGGAGACUCGGCUGCAUUUAUAAAAUAGUGCUCCAUAAAAAUCUGAUAACAAAAUACGAUAUAAUAAUAAAAUUAUGCUAAAAACUAGUUCUACCGUGAGAUCGUCAUUCACCGAAGAAGUAAUUAAAGAUAAAAGGAGAUAAAUGCCUUUUUUCUUUUUGUUUUACUGGGCGGAUUGUAAUAGUUAGGGUAGCGAACUACUUGGGCAGCGGCCGGUAUUUUGGACACUCUUCGACAUAACUCAGUCAAUUCCAAACCAAUGGACUUGAAAUUUUGUUCACGGCUAGAUACUAUACGUAUCUCAUCGCGUUGGGUCAAUUGGUUCAAAAUUGGCUGAGUUAUAGUGGAAAACAGACGAAUAUAGAAGCCACCGCCCAAGUGGCGCGAUACCCUAUUACCUAGUGAAUAUAAAAUUUUCUAACCAGUUCGUUACGAAACGCUGUGGCACUACGUCAAUCUUGAAUGAUGGAGUUUUGAUUGCAAAACUUGAUAUUGGUGUACUAUUGAUGAUCAAAUAUGUGUAAAGUCCUAUUAAUUUAAUAAUAACUGAAAUUGUUCUACAACAAAACAUGUUAUUGAAAUGUUAUUGAAAGAAAAUAUACCAAUAGCACGAUCAUAACAAAAUAAGAUUGUCCAACAAAAUAUGUUAUGGAAAGGUAAAGCCUCUAUAAGUAAAUAAUAACAAACCAUGAUAUAAAAACAGAUUUUGCGAUUCCGUUGUUAUCAAUUUGAUAUUCUCCUCAGCUCGGGUACUGCUUCUACUCUAGAACCAUACUUAAUACAUUUUGAUGUAUCCGUUAUAAAGUUAUGUUUUUUAUGUGUCUGAUUAAGCUGUUUUUUGUAUUGAAAUAUUCAAACUGCGAUAACUUUCAAAAUAUUCUACCAAAAUAGCUCAUAAUUUGAUCGAAAUUAUACUUUUAUAAUAUUUGAUUACGGUCGAUUUGUGAUAAGAAUCGGAGCGACAGUUGUACUCUCAAGAUUCGUAAAAAAAUACCUAAAAUAUACUAUGAUUGAAACUACAUCAGUUUUAAAUUUAAAAAAGGUUAGGGACAAAACGUCGAAUGUCAAAACUUCGAGUGUCGACACGUCGAAAAGUGAUAGAAUGGGGUUCCCUAAAAAUAAUAAAACACUCACUAUUUGCUUAUAUGACUCAUUUUGGACGUUUUGUCCUUUCGAUAUUUUAUCCCUUUCGACGCUUUGUCAUUCGACUUUUUGGCAUUCGACUUUUUGUCUUUUGGCAAAACGUCGAAAGGAUAAAACGUCGAAGGUACAAUACGUUGAAAGGACAAAACGUCGAAAAGUGAAAGAAUGGGUUUCCUUUAACCCUGAACGCUAAACGUGUUCUAUUCUAGACCAGCGAGGUUGCAUCCAGAAACAUGGGUGACAAAACGUCGAAAAAUGAAAGAACUCACUAUUUGCUUAUAUGAUUCUUUGAUGUUUUGCCCUUUCGAUGUUUUGUCCCUUUCGACGCUUUGGCAUUAGACCGUUGAGAAUUCGAAAUUUUUAGACGUCGUGUAUAAAUAAAUAGUGAGUUUUUUAUUCUUUUAAAAGAAAGCCAUUAUCCCACUUUUCGACUUUUUUGAGCAUUCGACUUUUUGUCCUAUCGACGUUUUAUCACCCAACCCUAACGGUAUUUCAGAUAUUUAACUACAUUCUCUGUACUUGCAAGUCUUGACAUAAAUAACUAUUUUGGGUUUCUAGUGUAUAAUCAAUCUGAUAAUAUUGACGGGCUUGGUGGUCUAGUGGCUACCGCUUCUGAUUCGUAUGCAGAAGGUCAUGGGUUCAAUCCCUGGCCCGUCCCUUUUCAUCCUACUUUGUAUCUUUCUAUCCACUUCCUCUCUCUCUCUUCUCUACAUAUACAACUCAUGUAUAUUCAUAUGUUCAUAGCCAUCGCUAGAACCAGAAACGAAUUGGAAAAAAGUCGUUUCCCUCCCUUCCAAUUUCCACUCACAGCACAGUGCACAAUGGGUCCAGAGCCGUAUUUACGAAGACGAAAAUGUUUGUGCCUAAACCAUAAGUUUUAGAUACAUGGUGUCUUUGGGAAAGUUUCUUCUUAUUUUUCGACCUUUUUUCUCAUUAUUGUAAAAUUAGGGUGGUCCCUCUAGUUUCGCUGAUCCAAACAUCUGUUUUUUAAUAGUUUUAUGUACGUUCACAAAAUGUUCUACAAAGUUGUAAAAGAACUUAUUUGGAGCAAGUUUGCCGAAGAAACCAUUAUUCUAUCUCUUAUGGUUCCUAACUUAUAAUUUUUUAAAAGAUUCAUGUUAGGGUGAUCCAUGAAUUUCAGUUUUCCUGAAAUAACUUUUAAUUCGUUCGUUUCUCGUGAAUACUUUGUUCCGAGCACUUUUAGAACUAUUAACGACGCAUAUUUUUUCCAAAGAGCUCAAAGUUCUAACUCGCGUGGUUUAAAAGAUAUUGGCAUUUUUCUUCGAAAAAUCACUUUUUUUCAAAAAGCCAUAUCUCAAAAAGGAGCAAAUGGAUUUUCAAUCUCCCGGUUGCAUUGGAAAGAUCGUACUCUGUUCUAUUUGUGGUGAAAAAACUGUAGGUACCUUUUUUGUUUAAAGCUUUUUAUUGAAUUUUGAGAAUACGAUUUUUUUUUCGUGGAAAAGCAGUUGUAACUUUGAAAAUCGAUGAGAUACAAACUUGGCGUCUUCGACAAAAUUGUGAGUUUUUGGCUGUUAUAAAAAGACCCAGAACAAAGUAUUGCGAAAAAAUCAACACAUAAAAUUAUAUUGAAUAAAAACAGAUUUUCAUAUGAAAAAUGACACAUUUCAAGCAAAUUCAACUCGUCUUUGUUAGAUAGACCAAAGUAGCUUGGUAAAUGGUCAUCCAUUUCAUUCUAGAACCAAUGUUUAUUUAUACUGUCAUCACCAGUUAGGCACAAUGUUGUUAAGAUAUUGUAAAUGAUGUAACUUUGAUAGGCUUUUACGUUAACAUGAACAUAUACUAGUGAUUGACAUUUUCACUAUCCAUACAUUGAAGUGAUGAAAUUGAAAUUAAAUUGAUGGAAAUCAGCUCAAAAUAACAUUUUAAGUUGAGUUCAUUGACGAAUUAUGGAUUAUAAGCAAAAUUAAACAUUUUCGACAUGGUUACUUCGAUCUAUCUAACAAAGACUAGUCGAGUUUGCUAAAACUGUUCCGCUUUCCAUAUGAAAAUCGGGUUUUAUUCAAUAUAAUUUUAUGUGUUGAUUUUUUCGCAAUACUUUGUUCUGGGCACUUUUAGAGCAGCCAAAAACUCACAAUUUUGUCGAAGACGCCAAAUUUGUAUCUCAUCGAUUUUCAAAGUUACAACUGCAUUACCAUGAAAAAAAUCGUAUUUUCAAAAUUUAAUAAAAAGUUUUAAACAAAAAAGGUACCUACAGUUUUUUCACCAUGAAUAGAACAGAGUACGAUCUUUCCAAUGCAACCAAGAGAUUGAAAAUCCAUUUGCUCCUUUAUGAGAUAUGACAUUUUGAAAAAAAGUGAUUUUUAGAAGAAAAAUGCCAAUUUCUUUUUAACUAUGAGAGAUAGAUCUUUGAGCUCUUUGGAAAAAAUAUGCGUCGUUAAUAGUUCCAGAAGUGCUCGGAACAAAGUAUUUACUAAAAACGAACGAAUCAAAAGUUAUUUCAGGAAAACUGAAAUUCAUGGAUCACCCUAACUUGAAUCUUUUAAAAACGUAUAAGUUAGGAACAAUAAGAGAUAGAAUAAUGGUUUCUUCGGCAAACUUGCUCCAAAUAAGUUCUUUUACAACUUUGUAGAACAUUUUGUGAACGUACAUAAAACUAUUAAAAAGCAGAUGUUUGGAUCAGCGAAACUAGAGGGACCACCCUAAUUUUACAAUAAUGAGGUAACAGGUCGAAAAAUAAGAAGAAACUUUUCCAAAGACACCAUUUAUCUAAAGCUUAAGGUUUAGGCACAAACAUUUUUGUCUUCGUAAACACGGCUCUGGACCCAUUGUGCAGUGUAUGUAUAUAAACGCCUACAAGUUAUGCAACCAACGCGUGCUGUGCCGCUUGACCUUAUUCACCUCAUUCACCACACAAUCUAUCACCUUACGAACACUAUAAAUAAUUCCCUAUCCAUGGAUCGCAUCACCGACCCAACGGUGACUCCCAGAUCUCCCAUCCUUUCCGUCUAACAAAUACCCCAGUCCGUGCUGGUUGUGGGGAUGCAGAGGUGAUUUCGGUCUUUAGUAGCAACAACCAGCACACUCUAACAUUCCUUUCCCUUCCCAACUGACUAUAGGGACGUGGCCGGCACCGGUAUUGAUCCAAAAUGUAUGAGCUGCUAGAAUUGCACUUUGAGAAUAAGUGGAGUGUCCCAGCCCUUAUUCAUUUGGAUCUCAGUGCAAUUGGUACCAGCUCAGAUCAAUAACGGAGUAGCAACCAUUGACAUGUAUAGUCAGAUUUGAUCAUUAAUUGAUGAUGAUGAUUGAUCGUUUAUAAUCAAUCUGAUAAAAUUUUUAGCUGAUCCAUGUUUUUGCCUUUCUCGUACACUAAGUGUACUGGAAAGGCUAUAUGUUCACUCAAAAAAUGACUUUUUGAUAGGAGGCCCGGAGAUUCGAGUCACAUAUACCAAUCAACUCAGCUCGACGAAUUGAGGUGAUGUCUGUGUGUGUGUAUGUGUGUGUGUAUGUGUACAAACGAACUCACGUCACUUUUCGGCAGUAAAUCUCAACCGAUUUUAAUGACCGACGGUUCAUUCGACGCGGAAUCUGGUCCCAUUGUUUGGUAUUGAAAAUGGUUCGGAUCGGUCCAGCCGUUCCGGAAUUAUGGCCAUUUAGGCGUUCCGGAUCGGUACCCCAGGAAGGGGCUAGAUAUGAAAAUGCAACAAACC